GUAGUUCUCGGGUCCUUGAAAUAAGCUGGUAUAAUCCGGUUAAAGUCUAGAAUUGUUGUUCCACCCUUUUUUCUAGAACAAGCUUGUUCCGAAGUGAGAACAAGGUAAAUUAAAAUCUAAAUUUAAUUUUAAUUAUGGUAUUAAAUCAUUAAUUAAUUUAAUUUAUAUAUUUAAAUCAUUAUUCAUUGCUUAAAUAAUAAAGUAAUUAAUUAAUUUAUUGUUUAUAAUUAAUUAGCUAAUUAAUUAUUAAUAAUUUAAUAUAUUAAUCUAUAAGCCAAUAUUUAUAUUGAUCAACCAUUAAUAUUUGUAUUAAUCUAAUUAAUUUUUUUACUAGUUAUCUAACUAAAAUAAUUUACUAACUAGUAAAUAUUUAAUUAAUUAAUUAAUAUAUUUUUAUUAUCCUAUACAAUAUCCAUAGCUAAUAAAUUUAUUAAUUUAUUAAGUUAUUUUUAAUUAAUAUUUUGAUAUCAAUUAAUUAGAUAAAAAUAUUUUUAAUUAAGAAUUAUAACUCUUAUUUCUCUUGUUCCAAUCUAAAUAUCUAAACACUGUUUAACUUAUUCUCAGAAACAACCUAAAUUUCAUCCAAAUGUAAAAUUGGUUUAGUUCAUACUUAUACAUGAUCUUGUACAUAUCUUUGGAAUAAGAAGUUCUUAUUUAUAUCCGAACCAAACGCAGCUAGAGUUUGAAGAUUAGUUGCUCCACAUUUCAGUUAAGUUUAUUUUUUAAAUAAUAAUAAAAAUAAUAAUAAUAAAUAAAACGGAUAAAAUGUUAUCUUUUUCUCUCUUGAAAAAAAGUCAAUUCGUAUUUGACUUGUAAUCGGCUCA
rnacentral:lncRNA from 1 species